CCGUUAGGAGGGAAGCGAAUGCAGCCAGUGCGAGUCCCGUCAGGUUCAGGAGCAGCGGAGAGCGUCGCUCUGGGGUGGCCUAGAUGGCGCCCGAGGGUAGUCGCGCGGCCGCGCAUCUGCACUCCUGCGGGGCUCUUGCCAACGGCAGUGGUCGGUGCCCGAGAGCCGUCGGGGAGGUGCCCUACCCCUCUUCGGAGGCGGGAGGAACUUAUAACCCUUCGGCGACGGGCAUCUGGCGACUGAGGAGACGAUCGCUACUGAUCUGACGACGCAGGCUCCCCCCUUCGCGGGGGGCGGGCUGGCCCCCUUCUCGGACGUCCGGUCUCGCGACCCAGGACUGCGUGCAGUGCUGGGACGCGUGCGCCUUCGACCGGGCGGGAUGGGUGCAACUGCGUCCGGCGGUUGGCAAAACGUGGCUCCAUCCGUCCCGUCUUGAAACACGGACCAAGGAGUGCAACACGCCCGCGAGUCUUUGGGUGGCAAACCCGCCGGCGAAAUGAAAGUGAAGGCGUCCCCGUGGCGCCGAGGCGAGAGCCGCGUGACUGCGGUGCAUCGUCGACCGAUCCUAUCCACGCCGUGGGGGGAUUCGAGUUAGAGCGUGCCUGUUGCGACCCGAAAGAUGGUGAACUAUGCCUGAA
rnacentral:rRNA from 1 species